GCCAGACUCCUACGGGAGGCAGCAGUGGGGGAUAUUGCACAAUGGGGGAAACCCUGAUGCAGCGACGCCGCGUGGGUGAAGAAGUGCCUCGGCGCGUAAAGCCCUGUCAGCAGGGAAGAAAAUGACGGUACCUGAAGAAGAAGCCCCGGCUAACUACGUGCCAGCAGCCGCGGUAAUACGUAGGGGGCAAGCGUUAUCCAGAUUUACUGGGUGUAAAGGGGGCGCAGACGGCGAUGCAAGCCAGGAGUGAAAGCCCGGGGCCCAACCCCGGGACUGCUCUUGGAACUGCGUGGCUGGAGUGCAGGAGGGGCAGGCGGAAUUCCUAGUGUAGCGGUGAAAUGCGUAGAUAUUAGGAGGAACACCAGUGGCGAAGGCGGCUUACUGGACUGUAACUGACGUUGAGGCUCGAAAGCGUGGGGAGCAAACAGGAUUAGAUACCCUUGUAU
rnacentral:rRNA from 1 species